rnacentral:snRNA from 1 species
GUACUUACUUAUCAGCCCACACACUCAAAUUGGAAUGAUACACAGAUUAGCAUGGCCCCUGUGCAAGAAGGACAGAAAUUCAUGAAGCAUUCCAUAUCUUU